ACGAGCGGCGAACGGGUGAGUAACACGUGAGCAACCUGCCCCUGACUCCGGGAUAAGCGGUGGAAACGCCGUCUAAUACCGGAUACGACCCUCCGCCUCAUGGCGGCGGGUGGAAAGUUUUUUCGGUCGGGGAUGGGCUCGCGGCCUAUCAGCUUGUUGGUGGGGUAACGGCCUACCAAGGCGAUUACGGGUAGCCGGCCUGAGAGGGCGACCGGCCACACUGGGACUGAGACACGGCCCAGACUCCUGCGGGAGGCAGCAGUGGGGAAUCUUGCGCAAUGGGCGGAAGCCUGACGCAGCGACGCCGCGUGGGGGAUGACGGCCUUCGGGUUGUAAACCUCUUUUACCACUCACGCAGGCCCCGGGUUUUCUCGGGGUUGACGGUAGGUGGGGAAUAAGGACCGGCUAACUACGUGCCAGCAGCCGCGGUAAUACGUAGGGUCCGAGCGUUGUCCGGAAUUAUUGGGCGUAAAGAGCUCGUAGGCGGCGUGUCGCGUCUGCUGUGAAAGGCCGGGGCUUAACUCCGGUUUUGCAGUGGAUACGGGCAUGCUAGAGGUAGGUAGGGGAGACUGGAAUUCCUGGUGUAGCGGUGAAAUGCGCAGAUAUCAGGAGGAACACCGGUGGCGAAGGCGGGUCUCUGGGCCUUACCUGACGCUGAGGAGCGAAAGCGUGGGGAGCGAACAGGAUUAGAUACCCUGGUAGUCCACGCCG
rnacentral:rRNA from 1 species